UAGGGAAUCUUCGGCAAUGGGGGCAACCCUGACCGAGCAACGCCGCGUGAGUGAAGAAGGUUUUCGGAUCGUAAAGCUCUGUUGUAAGAGAAGAACGUGUGUGAGAGUGGAAAGUUCACACAGUGACGGUAACUUACCAGAAAGGGACGGCUAACUACGAGCCAC
rnacentral:rRNA from 1 species